rnacentral:lncRNA from 1 species
GUGCUUCUUCAUGGAGUCACUUGGGCAUCUGGGCUGAUGGGGGCUCUGUUUUGGUGGUCUUCCAGGUUACAAUGGGGGUCAUCUCUAGUCCCCAUACCUGCAAAAAGCAACCAACAAGGAUGGAAGGUGACCCAGGAGGUGACAGUGACCCAGGCUUCCAUAAUACAAAUGAGAAAUGCUUUGUUUGCACUGCGCUUGAGCUCCAAUGCCUGGAGACCCCUGAUGUGGGAUAAGCCCAGUCAGGUCCUUGAAAGUGGCUAAGAGCCCAAAUGGAAUGGAUGCAGACAGUAGUUGGAAGAAAGUGACAAGGU